rnacentral:rRNA from 1 species
AUUGAACGCUGGCGGCAUGCUUUACACAUGCAAGUCGAACGGUAACAGGCCUUCGGGUGCUGCCGAGUGGCGAACGGGUGAGUAAUGCAUCGGAACGUACCCAGAGGUGGGGGAUAACGCAGCGAAAGCUGUGCUAAUACCGCAUGUGAUCUGAGGAUGAAAGCGGGGGACCGAGCAGCAAUGUUUGGCCUCGCGCCUUUGGAGCGGCCGAUGUCGGAUUAGCUAGUUGGUGGGGUAAAGGCCUACCAAGGCGACGAUCCGUAGCUGGUCUGAGAGGACGACCAGCCACACUGGGACUGAGACACGGCCCAGGCUCCUACGGGAGGCAGCAAUGGGGAAUUUUGGACAAUGGGCGCAAGCCUGAUCCAGCAAUGCCGCGUGCGGGAAGAAGGCCUUCGGGUUGUAAACCGCUUUUGGCAGGAACGAAACGGUGUCCGCUAAUACCGGGCGCUAAUGACGGUACCUGCAGAAUAAGCACCGGCUAACUACGUG